CCGCAUCUUCGAUCUCUUCGACCAGAACGGCGACGGGGAGAUCACCAUCGAGGAGCUCGCACUCGCCCUCGACCGCCUCGGCCUCGGCGCCGACGCCGACGCCGACGAUCUCAGAUCCACCGUCGCCGCCUACAUCCCCACCGGCCGCGCCGGCCUGGCCUUCGAGGACUUCGAUGCCCUCCACCGAGCACUCGGCGACGCGCUCUUCGGCGGCCCCGCUGCCAUGGAGGAAGAAAUGGAAGGGGAGGAGGGGACGGUGGAGGAAGACAUGAGGGAGGCAUUCCGGGUGUUCGACGAGGACGGGGACGGCUUCAUCUCGGCGGCGGAGCUCCAGGCGGUGCUCGCCAAGCUGGGGCUACCGGAGGGGCGGAGCAUCGCCCGGGUCCAAGAGAUGAUCUGCUCCGUC
rnacentral:lncRNA from 1 species